rnacentral:rRNA from 1 species
CCCAAGAGUCCAUAUCGACGGGGAGGUUUGGCACCUCGAUGUCGGCUCAUCACAUCCUGGGGCUGUAGUAGGUCCCAAGGGUUGGGCUGUUCGCCCAUUAAAGUGGUACGCGAGCUGGGUUCAGAACGUCGUGAGACAGUUCGGUCCCUAUCCAUCGCGGGCGCAAGAAACUUGAAAGGGGCUGCUCCUAGUACGAGAGGACCGGAGUGGACGAACCAAUGGUGUAUCGGUUAUGCCGCCAGGCGUACAGCCGAGUAGCUACGUUCGGGACGGAUAAACGCUGAAAGCAUCUAAGCGUGAAACCAGCCUAAAGAUGAGGUUUCUCAUUGCAUAAGCAAGUAAGGCCCCAUGAAGACGACAUGGUUGAUAGGCCGGGAGUGGAAGUGCAGCAAUGCAUGGAGCGGACCGGUACUAAUAGGCCGAGGACUUAUCUUA